UGAUCUUCGUGUCACAGACAUUUGUCUCACAUGCUCAGCGCAUGAGUUUAGGGGCCCCCGUACAUUGAAGGCUUCUUAUCUCUAAGUCCUACAUGGCUCUGCCUGCGUUACUGAUUUUUUUCGCCAGCAGGUGGGGGCAGAGGAUGCUACCACCCUCAUCGUCAGAACAGCUGACACAGCUUCCCAAACUGUUUUCUUAAUAAUGGAAGCAGUGCAAACCACGUGGAAAACCACACAUGAAAACAGCAGAAACAUGCACCCCAUGUCGUCUCAGGGAGGAAGUAACUGCCCUGAGCAACGUGCCCUUACCCACUACGAAGCUGAGCGGCCAUGUGAAAAACUACAUUUCCCGGCAUGCCAUGGAAACCAACAUGGCCGACAGGAAGCUCAAAACCCAAAGACCACGACUCCCAGCAUGCUGCGGGGCACGAAGCCUGGCGGUUGCUACAGCGCAUGCGCAUCUCCUCCGUCUGCAGUACCUCCCUUUCGCCAGCAGGUGGGAGCAGAGAGCAACGCGUCACCGCAGCGCGUCUUCGCCUACAGCACCGCUCGCUGUUCGGCCACCAGGUGACACCAGGAGCCGCCGCGCCAGCCUGCUCCAUGCAUGGGCGGAAGCAGAACGGCAGGCACGGCUUCCCAGGCCGUCUGCUCGUUAAGGGAAGCGGCGGGAGCCGCGUGGAACACCACACAAGAACGGCAAGAAAAAGCACCCCGCUCCAGUGACACGGAGGAAGUAACUGCCCAUCCUAAAUGGGCCCGUGCUGAGCGGCAACGUGAAACUACAGUUCACAACAUGCUCUGGAAACCACUGUGGCCGAUUAAACGCCCGGAGCCCAAAGACCACAACUCCCGGCAUGCUCUGGGGCAAGACGCUCCCAGCCACCUGACCCAGCUGACGCCCCGCCCCAGAGUCAAAUCCAUGCUUUCUGAUCCACUGCCCACCCUCUGUGGCUUUCCCUACCCCAGCCACCGAUCCCGCAGGACCCAGCCUCCCCACACCCUUCCCUCCCCUCUGCCAGGGAUGCCCAGGCCCUCCCUCACCUGUUCCUUCACAGCAGCCACAGCCCAGGUCACGCUCACCAAUCACUCCCUCCGCACAGACCAGCCCCAGGGAGCAAAGACAGCACAGGCCUACCCCCACCAUUGCUGCCCUUGCCCCCCCCGCCUGCAGCCUCCCCAGCAGAGUAGCCCCCCACACCCAGAUCGCUUGUCUGUGUCCAUUGGCUCCCCCAUGGACAAUAAACACGGGGCCAACACCCCAGCCCUUGCCCACUCCACACCCAGGAACCUGCACCCAGCAGCACGGCCACGGCCCCUUACACUGUCCACAAACACAGAGGGCAGCACAAGCCAGAAAGCAAACUUUAUUAAACUCUUGCGCAGGACUCCUGGGAGGGAGACUGCAGCAGAACUCCCUGCCCAGACAUUCUCCCCUUCCCCUGGGGGGCUGUGGGGCUCAGGCAUCGAGCAGGUCUGCCCAUCUGUCCCAGCAUCCAUGCCGUGGGGAACAGCUGCCUCCUGCAGAAAUGGGCAAGAGAGAUGCUGGAAGUAGGCUUCUCAAUAUCGCUUUUGGUACUUGUGGAGUAAUUGCCUUAAGUAACUAGGCAAAUUAAACUUUCUGACUUCCAGGAUCAGUCGACGGGCUGAGCCUCUCUUCCCCCCGCACUGGGAUGUCGUGGGGUAAGAUUUGAACGCUUGGUUGUACCAGGUGUCUCCGUAGAAACUUAGAAAUUUCUAGAGCCUUUGUG